rnacentral:tRNA from 1 species
UGGAGUAUAGCAUAAUAAUAAUGUGUUUCGCUUACAUUGAAAGGAUGGCUAUAGGAUUAGCCUGCUCUGA